GCUGGUUUGGCUCAGUGGAUAAAGCAUUGGACUGAAGAUCGAAGGGUCCCAGGUUCGAUUCCUGUCAAGGGCA
rnacentral:tRNA from 1 species